AGGUGUGUGGGGUGCGCACUCACAUACAAUUGUUUUGAGCUGUGGAGAUGGCGUUGUGAGCUUGUGUGAUCCUGUCUUUCCUCAAGCAUCAAGUAAUGGUCUUCAGGAUUGAGGUUGUGCUGGUGCUCCCGUUUUGCUCUCUGGGAGUGCGUGUGAUCAGGCACGCGUCGUGGGCGUGGAGCUCUUAACCGAGAUCCUGAGGUGUUCGGGACUUG